UUUCGGCGGGCGGAGCGCCACGACCGGUUCGUCGGCGGCGAGAAACUCUCGGGCAAGGUGACCUUCGUCUCGGCGCAGGAGCAUACAGGCCCGGUGAGCGUCGGCCCGUCGGUGGACCGAGGAAGACCGUCGCGGAGCGGCGUCGACCGUUCGUCGUGUGUUGGCGUUCGACUCGGGGGGACUGGUUCCAGUGCCCUCGGACCGCGCCGGCGCAGCGGCGGGCGCGCACGGCGUCGCGCCUGGGGUCGGUGGCGAAACGGCCGGCAACCUGUCCGACCCGUCUUGAAACACGGACCAAGGAGUCUAACAUGUGCGCGAGUCGUUGGGCGCUACGAAACCCGAAGGCGCAAUGAAAGUGAAGGCCCGGUCUCCGGCCGGCCUGGGUGGGAUCCCGGCGGUCUCGGCCGUCGGGCGCACCACCGGCCCGUCUCGUUCGUUACGUCGAGGAGGCGGAGCAAGAGCGUACACGUUGGGACCCGAAAGAUGGUGAACUAUGCCCGAGUAGGACGAAGCCAGAGGAAACUCUGGUGGAGGUCCGCAGCGAUUCUGACGUGCAAAUCGAUCGUCAAACUUGGGUAUAGGGGGGAAAGAUUAAUCGAACCAUAUAGUAGCUGGUUNCUGUCGAAGUUUCCCUCAGGAUAGCUGGCGCUCGUCGUGAGCAGUUUUAUCCGGUAAAGCGAAUGACUGGAGGCCUUGGG
rnacentral:rRNA from 1 species